GAGAAACGCGAACUUCGGUUCAAAUUUCACUUCGGAUUAGUGGCAGACGGGUGAGUAACGCGUGAGCAACCUACCUCUUACAAAGGGAUAGCCUCGGGAAACCGUGAUUAAUACCAUAUGACACAUUCAUAAGGCAUCUUAAGAAUGUUAAAGCUACGGCGGUAAGAGAUGGGCUCGCGUCCCAUUAGCUAGUUGGUGAGGUAACGGCCCACCAAGGCGACGAUGGGUAACCGGCCUGAGAGGGUGAACGGUCACAUUGGAACUGAGACACGGUCCAAACUCCUACGGGAGGCAGCAGUGGGGAAUAUUGCACAAUGGAGGGAACUCUGAUGCAGCGACGCCGCGUGAGCGAUGAAGGAAUUCGUUUCGUAAAGCUCUGUUCUAUGGGAAGAAAAGGACUGUACCAUAGGAGAAAGCCCCGGCUAAAUACGUGCCAGCAGCCGCGGUAAUACGUAUGGGGCGAGCGUUGUCCGGAAUUAUUGGGCGUAAAGGGUACGCAGGCGGUUUACCAAGUUGGAUGUGAAAUCUUGUAGCUCAACUACAAACGUGUAUCCAAAACUGGCUAACUUGAGUUAAGGAGAGGUAAGUGGAAUUCCUGGUGUAGCGGUGGAAUGCGUAGAUAUCAGGAGGAAUACCGGUGGCGAAGGCGACUUACUGGACUUAUACUGACGCUGAGGUACGAAAGCGUGGGGAGCAAACAGGAUUAGAUACCCUGGUAGUCCACGCCGUAAACGAUGUCGACUAGCCGUUGGGAUCCUUGAGAUCUUAG
rnacentral:rRNA from 1 species